GAUGAACGCUGGCGGCGUGCUUAACACAUGCAAGUCGAACGGAAAGGCCCUGCUUUUGUGGGGUGCUCGAGUGGCGAACGGGUGAGUAACACGUGAGUAACCUGCCCUUGACUUUGGGAUAACUUCAGGAAACUGGGGCUAAUACCGGAUAGGAGCUCCUGCUGCAUGGUGGGGGUUGGAAAGUUUCGGCGGUUGGGGAUGGACUCGCGGCUUAUCAGCUUGUUGGUGGGGUAGUGGCUUACCAAGGCUUUGACGGGUAGCCGGCCUGAGAGGGUGACCGGCCACAUUGGGACUGAGAUACGGCCCAGACUCCUACGGGAGGCAGCAGUGGGGAAUAUUGCACAAUGGGCGGAAGCCUGAUGCAGCGACGCCGCGUGCGGGAUGACGGCCUUCGGGUUGUAAACCGCUUUCGCCUGUGACGAAGCGUGAGUGACGGUAAUGGGUAAAGAAGCACCGGCUAACUACGUG
rnacentral:rRNA from 1 species